rnacentral:rRNA from 1 species
GCUUAACCGAAGAAGUGCAUCGGAAACUGGGUGACUUGAGUGCAGAAGAGGACAGUGGAACUCCAUGUGUAGCGGUGGAAUGCGUAGACAUAUGGAAGAACACCAGUGGCGAAGGCGGCUGUCUGGUCUGCAACUGACGCUGAGGCUCGAAAGCAUGGGUAGCGAACAGGAUUAGAUACCCUGGUAGUCCAUGCCGUAAACGAUGAGUGCUAGGUGUUGGAGGGUUUCCGCCCUUCAGUGCCGGAGCUAACGCAUUAAGCACUCCGCCUGGGGAGUACGACCGCAAGGUUGAAACUCAAAGGAAUUGACGGGGGCCCGCACAAGCGGUGGAGCAUGUGGUUUAAUUCGAAGCUACGCGAAGAACCUUACCAGGUCUUGACAUCUUGCGCUAACCUAAGAGAUUAGGCGUUCCCUUCGGGGACGCAAUGACAGGUGGUGCAUGGUCGUCGUCAGCUCGUGUCGUGAGAUGUUGGGUUAAGUCCCGCAACGAGCGCAACCCUUGUUACUAGUUGCCAGCAUUCAGUUGGGCACUCUAGUGAGACUGCCGGUGACAAACCGGAGGAAGGUGGGGAUGACGUCAGAUCAUCAUGCCCCUUAUGACCUGGGCUACACACGUGCUACAAUGGUCGGUACAACG